ensembl:lncRNA
CUGAUGUUUGUUGAUGAUGACCAUGGGUCCCUGUGUGUCUUACAUAUCAUGGCUAUAGAGGACACUGGAAGAGUGCUGUACCAUUUGUAUAAAUUACUCCUUGUGCUCUAGUAGUAAUUAAAAUGACUGGGCUUGGAGUCAUUAACUAGGGUUUUAGCCCUGACCUGACCAACACAUAGCUUUGCAAUUUCUGACCAUGUAGUUCAUCCAUUUGAAUUCUUUAUUACAUAGUAAAUCACUUCAUUCUAUUUGAUCAUCAGGGGGGUUUUCCAACUCUAUUUUCUCUUGUCAUUCUUUUAGAAAGACAUGCUGGUACUAUCAUUUUUCAAGCAUGAUGAAUAUUAGACUGGCAUAUUUUCUGUUUUUUCCUCUUGAUUUCUUUGUUUUCUUUUCAUUUAUUCUUCCUAUCUUUCACAUCAUGCAUCUUGGUCCCUUUUAUUUCCCUGUCCCUGCAUAUCUACCCUCUGCCCUUGCAAUUUAAGAGAAAAAAGAAAAAAAACAAGAAGGAAAAACUCAAUCUCGUCAUGGUAGCUGUAGUGUGAUACAGUGAGUCAUGCAGUAAACCCUUUACCCAUAUAUCUUCACUUGCAAGUGUUCAUUGCAGAGUCAUUGGUAUGGUUUGAGGCCUCUGGUUUCUGCUACACUGUUGAUGCUGGGCCCUGACUGGGACUCAUCUUGGAUAUCUUGUUGUUGCCUUGUGUUGUGGAGAUCCUACAUCUUUGAGUCUGCAGAACUGGCCCCUACACAUGCUCCAGAAGAUCGUAGAUUGGACUGAUGUUGGGGGCGAGCUCUCCUGCAUUGUCCUGAUGAGUUCUCAGGGGGUAGGACCAAGACUGUGGGCAUCGAUUGGAGGACUAUGGAACUCCCAUCUCAUUGGAGAUCACAGCUAAAGGAAUUCUUUGAUGAAAUAGUCUGAAGUUACAACCCAAAUGUGUUCCCUUUUGAAGGAGAUUAUGUGAGAAUGUGAUGUAUUAAAUAUUCAUUUUCCAAAUAAAAAAUUUGAAACUCAGAAGAGUAUAAAAUCAUUGCUUAAAAGGAGUAGAAAUUGCUCUGCAAAUUUAAAAACUGGUAAGUUCUCUGACAAAUAACAGCUUUUUAAUUUGUUUCUUUGCUUGAGAUCCAGUCUCAUUGUAUACCUCAGGCUACUCUGGAACUGUUUGUAGACCAGGAUGGACCCUCCAGCUCAUAAGCUUCUUGCCUUGGACUCCUGAGUGCUGGUGUUAAAGGUGGAGAACACUAUACCCAACACCUUUCAGGACAAGUAAUAUGAAGAAUGAGCUGGGCUCCAGAGCACUUAUUAAUUUCCACAGAGCAAAACCAUUCCUUUUCCAACCAUCCAUCUAUCUACAGGAUCUGUCCCUUCCAUGCUACUUCCCCAGGGCCCACAGUAUCCUGUUUAUUUUUCUCUUCCUGGAUUGUAUUAAUAUAUUAACUUGCAUUUUUAUAUAAUCAUCUGUUUAGCAAGAUACUGAGAUCUCCAAGACCACAAGCAGGGUUUUAUUUAACGUUCUGUCCCAAGAUUGCUCUCCUGGUGGGAAGAAGAAAAGCCAUUCAAGUAGGUUUCCAUGCAAGAUGCUUUCAAUGCCUCCAGCACUUUCAGUUGUUAGCAUCACUUUCUCGUUCCUUCGCAUUUGCUACAUAUACCAUCAUAAGGGAUAUAUUUUUAUAAUACAAACUAAUCUAUUAAUAUCAGGGAGGUGACUCAGUGGGUUGAGUAAAAGUACUUACUGCACAUAUGUGAUAUACUGUGUUUUAGUCAUGAACCCCAUGAUAGAAGAGGUAGGACUCCUAAACGCUGUUCUCUGACCUUGCCACACUUAUUGUGGUACAUGUGUAUUCCCACACUCACAUACAAGCAAGCAACAAUAAUGAACAAAGUUAAAUUCAAUGCUUAUUUCCCUUAUGAAACAUACAUUGUAUAAUAAUAAGUAUAUUGAUAUAUGCAUUUUAGCUAUGUUUGCAUAUUUUCAUGAGUGACACUUACAGUAAACUAUCUGAACUGAUUAUUGUACCCACUGUAGAAUUGAGAAAAAUGCAUGUUCAGAAAGAUCAAUGGGUUGCCCAGGGCCACAAAAGCCAGUGAACAAACACAAAAAGAGUCUACAUGCUUAUACAUUAUUCUAUGGUGUUACUUACUUAUUAGUAGUGGAAAUAAUACAUAAAUACAGGGAUAUGUAUGGAAUCUGACAGCCCUAUGGUAGAGGAUAAUGUCUUGUCAUAAUUGUCAAAGAUUUAUGUCAUUUAUUUCCUUAGUAUUUAACAUAUGUUCUUUCUUCCUUUCAUAAGGAGACCAUGUAUGAAUGAAUGAAUGAAUGAAUGAAUGAACGAACAAACACCAUAUCUGUUGCUGGAGUUUCUUUUAAGGCCAGGUUCCCCCACCCUUCUAAGCCCCAAAUAAACACAUGGGUGCUAUAUUAAUUCAUAAAUUUUUGCCGAUGGCUAGGGUGUCUUGUUUGCUAGCUCUGUUUCAAUUAUUAAUCCAUAACUACUAAUUUAUAUAUUUCUACAUGGCUUUGUUUUACGAGAGGACACUUGGCAAUUCUAUCUUCCCAGUUUCUACAUGACAUCUCUUCACAGUCCCUCUUUGCCUAACUUUCCCAGAAUUCUUCUCAUCUCCUAGUCCCGUCCAUCUUCCUGCCUCUAUUGGCCAAACAGUGUUUUAUUCAUCAACCAAUAAGAGAAACAUAUAUACAGAAGGACCUCUCCCAUCACAUAGCCUUUUAUUAUAUAUGUAAUCCUGGAUUCCAAGUUGUGUUAUCAUAUCUCUUUUACCAGAUGUAGGUAAGUGUUAAAUCUUAGAAUCACUUCAUGACACCAAGAGUACCUGAUGAACAAAGAACACUGUACUAUUAUGGAAUUGGGUUUGUAAUCGAGGCAUGAUUUGUGUACUGAUGGUCUCUAGCCUAUUUCUGACUCUUCUGAUGGUUAUCCAGGCUGCUGUUUUUAGGACGGCAGUUGAUGCAAUGUUGGGAUAUAGGAGUUCACAUACAAUGAUAUCGAGGCAUCUCAAGUCAUAAAGCAAGGGAAAAAUUGGUCCAGAAGGGCAUUAUGACAGGAUAGUCUUUCAUGAAUGAAUAGCUAUGUUACUUGCAUCUAACUCUGUAUGAGGAGGAUGAACUCAAGGAUUUCUGUACUCUGAGCUUCUUCAUAUUUUCUUAAGUUUGUCUAAAAAUUGAUAUGUAUUAUAUAGCAUAAAGGGUAUGAGGAAGGAGGCUAAUGGUACUAAUGGAAUUAGGGACCAAAGACCUAUGCUAAUGUUAUGAAUUAUGUGGCUGAGGGAAAUUAAUCAUCCUAAUCCAGAGUACAGUUCCUUUACUUAUAAAAUAUGAAGGCUAAGAUACAAUAAUUUGCUCAAUUUUUCUUCCCUCCUAAACUGUUUAAGUCUUAGGUGGUUUUGAUUUAGAUAGUAAAUGUCCAAAGUUUGACUGUUUAAUUUGUUAAGGAUGACUUUGAUCAUGGGCUUGAGUUUUUGAAAACCCACUUCAAUUUCUAUGAACAAUGAUCAGCAAUAACUUUUUCAUUUUGUUAUAGUAAUGAUUUCAAAUAUGCAGCACUUAGUGCCUAGCAUGUGUUCACUCCAUAGAAAAUAGGGAAUAUUUUAUAAACUGGAGGCCACAUAUGUCUUUAAUUAUCCCAGGACUUCUUGAAAAAGUUAUGUAGGAUUCCCCAUGUACUUAUGCUAUGUAAUCUACACAUUAGUUUCCGAGGCUGCCAUCAUAUAUUUAACAUGAAUUUAUGAGUUAAAAUAUACUUUUUCUCUAGCUCUAAAGGCUAGGCAUCCCACAUUCAAAAUUUGACAUCAUAGGUUCCUUCUAGAAGCUCUGAGGUAGAUUCUCUUUUGUCUGUGUCUCUUAGCUUCUGGUAUUUGAUCAAAAUCUUUUUGGCCUGAAGGCAUCAUUGCCCAAAUUCUGAAUCUGUCUUCAUGUGGCUAUCUUCCACCAGUGUAUCAAGUCUCUGGGACUCUACAUGCCCUUCCUGUAAGGAUGCCAGCAGUUGAAUUUAGAGCCCACUCAAGUCCAGUGUUGUCUCAUUUAAAACAAAUCAUCAAAGACAACUAUUUCCAAGUAGGAUUAUGUCUUUGUGAUAUGGGCAUUAAAGGUUCAGAAAAUACUUUUGGUCAACACAACUCUAACCAUAAUAGCUUACAGUGAACUAUAAAAAUCUAAAAUGGUACAAUUGUCAUUUCUGAUUGUAGUGCUCAUGGGUUCUUCAGAGUCAGAAUAUGAAUGAGCCUUCAGGCCACUGUAAUUUUUCUGCAGACUUUUUGUUCCUAGAAGCCAACAAAGAAGAUUUGAGAGUAUCAUCAAAUCAUAAAUUUGCAAAGUCAUUUGACUUUUCCAAAUUUGGGCUACUAUUUGUGUUGCUCAUUGAGUUUUAGUUUUCACUGAAAAUUUUAUUUCUAUCGGAUCCUAGGAAUAAUGAAUGCAAAGUACAGUUAAUUAUCCUAAUGUUCCAGGGAACUUAAAAAUAACCCAUGUCGUUAGGUGGCUGCUGCUUAUGUAUCUGAUUGGUCAUUAAGUAAGAAACCAGAGAUGGGUGAUUUAUCUGAUGUCCUCUGGACCGACAAUUGUGUGGGCCCUGUCUGCCAACUGCUUGGGAAUACUUUACCUAUAGCUAUUUGGGUAUCAGCACUGGUUCUCUGUGGUGGGAUGGAUGCCAGUGUGUCAGUCCUUCUUAAUCAUUCAGCAGCAAUCCCCUAAUGGAAAGCUCUUUAACCCUAUGCCUUCAAUUGCCACUGGCCUAGAAAAUGUGAAUUUUGGGGGAGUAGUUUUAAGAUCCCCAAGAUAUAUAGAUUUCACAAGAAUGCCAAAGAACUGUGAUAUUUGGGAAUGGCUGUGGGCUAAGAAAAAUAUAUUUCCUAAGAGCUGACUUUUCUCUGUUCCCCAAAUAUAUGAAUUAGUGAUCCCAUGUGUGAGUUGUAGGGCCAGAACAUGACUAUGUCUCACAUGCUAUCUUCAAUUUAUUUUCUCUGUGUCCAACACAUUUGGAAAGGAAUAUUUUCUUGUUGGCUGAAUUAGAAUCUCACUCUUACUGUCUGUUUGCUAAGUAUCCAUCUUUUCCCCUUCUCAUUCACACUUAUGAUAUGUUCGUAAAUAUAUUUUCUUGGAUCAGUAGUGUAGGUCAAGGUUUGGCACUGAAAUUGAUUAUUUCUUUUGUGAUUAUUGUCAUGUAUUUGUUAUAAAAUACUGUGAUGAUCACAAAGCACUUUCUAGGCUCCAAAUCUAUCUGUCUCUCUUCCAUUCAUCCAUCUGUAUAUCUAUGUAUUGUCUGUGUAUCUUUGUACCUCUCUCUUCUAUAUUUUAUCCAUCUGUAAUAAUAUUCAGUUUCUCUCACUAUUUUCAAAUAUUUUAAAGAACCAAAAUAUUCAAUGAACAAAUUUGAAAGGCUAGAAAUAUAAACAACGGGAGAAUUAUUUUUCCACUAAUAAAAGCGAUAAUUUUCUUCUUCUUUUUUUUUUUACCUUUGUCUUCAUUGGUCUUAAAUUCUCAUCUUUCAUUAGGCCUUAUAGAUCCUACUAGAUUUCAAUCUUUGUUAUGAGCACUCUUUCCCUCCAGUCUGGUCCCACAGCCCCCUUCUCCCAAAUGAAUGCACAGAUGCUAUAUUAAUUAUGAAACUAUUGGCCAAUGACUUAAGCUUCUUAUUGGCUAGCUCUGUCUUAAUUAUUGACCCAUUUCUAUCAAUCUAAGUAUUUCCAUGUGGUCUUAUCUUACUGGAGAAGGAUCUGGACCUCUUACCCCUUUGCAGUCUCAUAUGGUGUCUGACUCUGACUACAUUUCCCAGAAUUCUCCUUAUCUCCUAGGCCAACCUUUCUUGCUGCCCUAUUGGCCAACCGUGUUUUAUUCAUCAACCAAUAAGCAAAACAUAUGUAGAGAAGAAAUCCACAUAAAUCUUUUUUAUAUUUAAUUAUUUUCCCUUUGUUGUAUUUUCCAGUCUUCCAUUAUUCCCUCUGUGUUUUCUCUCUUCUAACCUUUCUCCUGCACCCCUUCUGCUCUUCCUUGUCUCUUUUCCUCUCCAUCUCUUUCAUGACUCAAGAAGAAUUUAAGAUGAAUCACAAGAAACAGAGGGUGGAGAAGAAGAAGGAAUAGAAGAAAGAGAAGAAGAGAGACGAGAGAGAGAGAGAGAGAGAGAGAGAGAGAGAGAGAGAGAGAGAGAGAGAGAGAGAAAGAGAGAG